rnacentral:rRNA from 1 species
CUCUUUCUCGAUUCAGUGGAUGGUGGUGCAUGGCCGUUCUUAGUUGGUGGAGUGAUCUGUCUGGUUAAUUCCGAUAACGAACGAGACUCUCCCCUGCUAACUAGUCGGUUGGAUCUUGAUCAGUGGGUUGAGUGCCGAGUAACUCUCGCUGUGCGUGCUGNGCGUUUCGUUCCUCACGGUUCGUUGCGUGCUCAUGUGUGGCGUUGGAUGCCUUGGAUCACACUGCACCCCAAGUCCGCCGCUUUGCUAUAACUCUUCUUAGAGGGAUUCACGGCACUGAAGCCGUAAGAGACUGAGAGCAAUAACAGGUCUGUGAUGCCCUUAGAUGCUCUGGGCCGCACGCGCGCUACAAUGCCGGGCACAGCAGGUGUUUCUCCUGCUCCGACAGGAGCGGGUAACCCUCUGAAAGCCAGUGUUCUUGCAAGUGCUUCCUCCCUCGUGGAGUUGCACAGAGGCGUGCUUGGGCCUGGGACUUGCAAUUCUUUCCCACCAACGAGGAAUGCCUAGUAGCGGCGGGUCACUGAGCCCGCUGUGACUCAGUCCCUGCCCUUUGUACACACCGCCCGUCGCUACUACCGAUUGGGUGUACCAGUGAGAGCCUUGGACUGGCGUCCGUUGUUGCUCGCAAGAGUGACAAGCGGGUCCGACGGAAAGAGGUCCGAACUGGUGCACUUAGAGGAAGUAAA